ensembl:snRNA U6 U6 spliceosomal RNA
GUGCUGGCUUCAGCAGCACAUGUACUCAAACUGUAAAUUAGCGUGGCCCCUGCGCAAGGAUGACAUGCACAUUCAUGAAGCAUUCAUGAAUAUU